AUUACUCCUACGGGAGGCAGCAGUAGGGAAUUUUCCACAAUGGACGAAAGUCUGAUGGAGCAACGCCGCGUGCAGGAUGAAUGCCUUCGGGUUGUAAACUGCUUUUAUCUGUGACGAAUAUGACGGUAGCAGAUGAAUAAGGAUCGGCUAACUCCGUGCCAGCAGCCGCGGUAAUAAU
rnacentral:rRNA from 1 species